rnacentral:siRNA from 1 species
CCAUGUCAUAGCUUUGUAGUCGC